ACCCGCUGAACUUAAGCAUAUCAAUAAGCGGAGGAAAAGAAACCAACAGGGAUUGCCUUAGUAACGGCGAGUGAAGCGGCAAAAGCUCAAAUUUGAAAUCGGCCACCAGGUCGAGUUGUAAUUUGUAGAUUGUAUCUUGAGAGCGGAUUAAAGUCUGUUGGAACACAGCGCCUUAGAGGGUGACAGCCCCGUAAAAUCUAUUCUCAUUGUAAGAUACUUUCGAAGAGUCGAGUUGUUUGGGAAUGCAGCUCUAAGUGGGAGGUAAAUUCCUUCUAAAGCUAAAUAUUGACGAGAGAACGAUAGCGAACAAGUACUGUGAAGGAAAGAUGAAAAGCACUUUGAAAAGAGAGUGAAAAAGUACGUGAAAUUGUUAAAAGGGAAGGGUAUUGAAUCAGACUUGGUGCUGUUGUUCAACUGUGUUUCGGCAUAGUGUACUCAGCAGUACUAGGCCAAGGUGGGGUGUUUGGGAGUGAAAAAGAAGUUGGAACGUAACUCUUCGGAGUGUUAUAGCCUACUUUCAUAGCUCCUCAGGCGCCUCAGGACUGCGCUUCGGCAAGGACCUUGGCAUAAUGAUUCUAUACCGCCCGUCUUGAAACACGGACCAAGGAG
rnacentral:rRNA from 1 species